rnacentral:sRNA from 1 species
AACCAAGAAAAAGCUUGGUUAGUGUUUUGGAGUAGAAUAUGACUUGAUGCCAUGUGUAUGAUUGAGUAUAAGAACUUAAUCCGCAACCGGAUCUUAAACGCCUAAGUAGUGUUUCCUCGUUAGAAGAUACAAAGCCAAAGACUCAUAUGGAUUUUAGCUACACCAUCAAAGCUUUGAGAAGCAAGAAGAAGCUUGGUUAGUGUUUUGGAGUCAAAUAUGACUAGAUGUCAUGUGUAUGAGUGAGUAUAACAACUAGAACCGCAACCGGAUCUUAAAAGCCUAAGUAUUGUAUCCUUGUUAGAAGAUAUAAAGACAAAUACUCAUACAGAUCUUACAAGCCUAAGUAGUGUUUCCUUGUUAGAAGAUACAAAGCCAAAGACUCAUACGGAUUUUAGCUACACCAUCAAAGCUUUGAGAAGCAAGAAGAAGCUUGGUUAGUGUUUUGGAGUCAAAUAUGAC